rnacentral:rRNA from 1 species
CUGGUGUUCGGGUUGUGUCGCCAGACGCAUUGCCCGGUAGCUAAGUUCGGAAUUGAUAACCGCUGAAAGCAUCUAAGCGGGAAGCAAGCCUUGAGAUGAGUUCUCCCUGAUACUUUAAGUAUCCUAAAGGGUUGUCGAAGACUACGACGUUGAUAGGCAGGGUGUGUAAGUGCUGUGAGGCAUUGAGCUAACCUGUACUAAUUGCCCGUGAGGCUUAACCAUACAACACCCAAGGGGUUU